rnacentral:rRNA from 1 species
CCCAGACUCCUACGGGAGGCAGCAGUGGGGAAUAUUGGGCAAUGGGCGCAAGCCUGACCCAGCAACGCCGCGUGAAGGAAGAAGGCUUUCGGGUUGUAAACUUCUUUUAAGAGGGAAGAGUAGAAGACGGUACCUCUUGAAUAAGCCACGGCUAACUACGUGCCAGCAGCCGCGGUAAUACGUAUGGUGCGAGCGUUGUCCGGAUUUACUGGGCGUGAAGGGGGCGCAGGCGGCGCGCCAAGCCCGAUGUGAAAGCCCGGGGCUCAACCCCGGGACUGCAUUGGGAACUGGCGUGCUGGAGUGCCGGAGGGGCAGGCGGAAUUCCUGGUGUAGCGGUGAAAUGCGUAGAUAUCAGGAGGAACACCGGUGGCGAAGGCGGCCUGCUGGACGGAUGCUGACGCUGAGGCCCGAAAGCGUGGGGAGCGAACAGGAUUAGAUACCCCAGUAA